UACGGAGGGGGCUAGCGUUGUUCGGAAUUACUGGGCGUAAAGCGCACGUAGGCGGCUUUGUAAGUUAGAGGUGAAAGCCCAGGGCUUAACCCUGGAAUUGCCUUUAAGACUGCAUCGCUAGAAUUGUGGAGAGGUAAGUGGAAUUCCGAGUGUAGAGGUGAAAUUCGUAGAUAUUCGGAAGAACACCAGUGGCGAAGGCGACUUACUGGACACAUAUUGACGCUGAGGUGGCGAAAGCGUGGGAGCAAACAGG
rnacentral:rRNA from 1 species